GUGCUUUUUGUAUUACAUUGGCUUUGCUAUUAUUUUCACUAUAUGAAAACAGAAUAUUUCAUGAAUCACUUUAGAUUCCUGAGAAAGCUAUAAUAGGAAAAAAAGAAUAGUGUGUUCAGAAAUACCACAUCUAGUCCUGUGUUUACGAAUUGCAAGCCUCUUAAAACAUACUAUGCUUUGAAAUCUCCCUCAGCAAAGCACUCAUAACCAUUAUCUCUUGCUUAAGUCACAGGAUUGUGGUGAUUGUCAAAUAUACUAAUAAAUGAAUAACUUAUAAAUAAUACAGUCCUGUUAAAAGUACAUGUCAAAUUCAACUUCCCAUUCUAAGUCAGGAAAUAAAAAUAUAGGCUAACCCACUAUAAUCCUCUCUUUCUACUUGGUGUCUGUAAUUCACAUUUUCUUUGUGUAGACAGGCAAAUAGAUCAAUAUAUUGGUCUGCAUUUUAUGCAGUUACACUUCCUUUAGUGUAUAUAGUAAGAUAUUUUUUGUUUUGACAUAACUGAUAGCUUUUUAAACAUAACUAUCUUCUCUGGAUUCAAAUAAAUAUUAUUCAGCUUGUUAUUUAGCUUUUUUUUUUGAUUCUCAAAACAAAUUAAAAAAAAAUAGUAUCUUCCCAGUAUUUUCCUUUUUCAUUUUCAUUUGAUAAUCUCAAUGAUCAUCAAAAAGUUUGUUUGUUUUUGCAAUAGCCUUAAAUUAUUUACUUAUUUCUAAACAAGAUUUGGGAUAAUGAUGCAUAAUAAAAGAUGAAAUUUUGGUGAGACUCUUAACAGAAAAUAGAAAAUCAAAAACUACUAGAAGGCAGAAAUCAAUCAGUCACUGAUAGCAGUUAUUUACAAAAUAUAUUUUGAUUUCAACUUUUUAAAAAUAAAUACUUCAACAGAAUCAAUGUUCUCUACCUUAAACAAAAACUCACUUAAAUACUCAGUAUAUUUAAAGAAGGAUUAUGAGUUCAAAGCCAGCCUCAGAAACUUAACAAGGCCCUAAGCAACUCAGGGAGACCCUGGAAUGAUGGAACUUAAUGGGCCAGGAAUACUAUGAGUGGAUUACAGAGAAUAAGAUGUGCCAAAAAUGAGAAGGACCCCUGAAUCUUGAAUAAUUGAUGAUUCUUCUUCAAUUUCUGCACUGGUUAUUGCAAUUAUAACUUAAAUUUAAAGAGAUUCAAAGUAUUUUCUCCAAUACACUUAUAAAUUUUGUGAUUGAAAAUUCUCUGCUUUCUGAAUAAAGGCAAAGAGGCACAUACAAAUACUGCAAUGCCUGGAUAUAAUAUAGUAAAACAUCAAAGAUAUUUCAAAGAAGCACCAACUUUCCUAGCAAAAAUGAAUUUAACAUUCAUGUCUUUAAAAAUCAUUAUGCAGAAAUGUAUUUGAAAAUACUGUCUAAAUGGGCCUUCAUGC
rnacentral:lncRNA from 1 species